GCGGACCCCCGCGCCUAGGCACUCCUGUGCCGCCAGUGCGCGGGGCCGGCCUCGCUCAGGCGUGUUCCUGCGCCGACCGGACGGCCGGACUCCAGCGCCUUGGCCCGGCCCGCGAACUCUGAGCACUCGCGGAAAUCCUUUAAAGAUAGGAAGUGAAAUCAAAUGGAUGUUGGUGAGUACCGCACGGCAACCAUUGCUUCAUUUCAUGGUUCAGAGUGAACUCUAAUCUGGAAGCCUUCCUUAGGUCAUUCCUGCUUCUGGGAUCCAACUCUAUGUUGUGCUUAAGAAAUGUGUCACAUCAGACAGAGUGAAUCACAAGACAGAGAUAUUUACCUAUCACAUACAUAUUUUAUUAGAUUUCAAGAAUGAAGAGGAACAGUUUAUCUGUUGAGAAUAAAAUUGUCCAGUUGUCAGGAGCAGCGAAACAGCCAAAAGUUGGGUUCUACUCUUCUCUCAACCAGACUCAUACGUACAUGGUUCUUCUAGACUGGGGGAGUUUGCCUCACCAUGUAGUAUUACGAAUUUUUCAGUAUCUUCCUUUACUAGAUCGGGCCCGUGCAUCUUCUGUAUGUAGGAGGUGGAAUGAAGUUUUUCAUAUUCCUGACCUUUGG
rnacentral:sRNA from 1 species